CUCUCUGCCGGAGCUAACGCAUUAAGUGCCCCGCCUGGGGAGUACGGCCGCAAGGCUAAAACUCAAAAGAAUUGACGGGGGCUCGCACAAGCGGUGGAGCAUGUGGCUUAAUUCGAUGCAACGCGAAGAACCUUACCGGGGCUUGACAUGAUAGAAGUAGGAACCCGAAAGGGCGAA
rnacentral:rRNA from 1 species